UAUUCCAGUACCACCAUAAUGCGUUUGACAAAUGGGAUGACGCAGGAGGAUAGGAUGUGCGCACUAUUGGAUGUGCGUCUAAGCACUUAGGGUGUUAAGUAGGCAAAUCCGCUUAACAUUAAGCCUGAGGUGUGAUGGGGAGCCUAUUUUGGCGAAGUAUCUGAUUCCACGCUGCCAAGAAAAGUCUCUAUGGAGCAAAAUGGUGCCCGUACCGCAAACCGACACAGGUAGAUGAGGAGAGAAUCCUAAGGUCGUCGGAAGAAUUAUUGCUAAGGAACUCGGCAAAUUGACCCCGUAACUUAGGGAGAAGGGGUGCCUACGAGAGUAGGCCGCAGUGAAUAGGCUCAAGCAACUGUUUAUCAAAAACACAGGUCUCUGCUAAAGCGUAAGCUGAUGUAUAGGGGCUGACGCCUGCCCGGUGCUGGAAGGUUAAGGGGAAUAGUUAGCGCAAGCGAAGCUAUGAACUUAAGCCCCAGUAAACGGCGGCCGUAACUAUAACGGUCCUAAGGUAGCGAAAUUCCUUGUCGGGUAAGUUCCGACCCGCACGAAUGGCGUAAUGAUUUGAGCACUGUCUCGGCAAUAAAUCCGGUGAAAUUGUAGUGCAAGUGAAGAUGCUUGCUACCCGCGGUUGGACGGAAAGACCCCGUAGAGCUUUACUGUAGCUUAGCAUUGAAUUUCGGUAUUGUCUGUACAGGAUAGGUGGGAGACUUAGAAGCGAGGGCGUCAGCGUUCGUGGAGUCGUCCUUGGGAUACCACCCUGACAGUACUGGAAUUCUAACUGGAGGCCAUGAAUCUGGUCACAGGACAUUGCUAGGUGGGCAGUUUGACUGGG
rnacentral:rRNA from 1 species